AAUUUGUGGUGCAGACAUUUUUGAAUCAACAUUUUGAACUUUUCCCAUGCCUCAUAGAAGGUUUCACCAUUCAUCUAUCUAAAAAUAACAAUCUCUCUUCUUAGUU
rfam:Gossypium arboreum cultivar AKA8401 contig_12625_11, whole genome shotgun sequence.